AGGGACCACACAAAGCCUCAGGCGGUUGCUUCUCUUUGUCACAGACCCUGCAGGAGAUUUUCCAGACUGAAAUGACCAUAGAAUCCAUCAAGAAGGCCAUCAAGGACAAGACUGCCUUCCUGAAGGUGGCUCAGACCAGACUGGACGAGCGCACUAGACGGCCGAACAUUGAAUUGUGCCGAGACAUGGCUCAGCUACGCCUUGUUAACGAGGUACACGAGGUUGACGACACCAUACAGACCCUGCAGCAGCGCCUGAGGGAUGCAGAGGACACCCUGCAGUCACUGGUCCACACCAAAGCCACCCUCGAGUAUGACCUAGCUGUCAAAGCCAAUUCCCUGUACAUUGACCAGGAAAAAUGCAUGAGCAUGCGCAAGAGCUACCCCAACACCCUCCGGCUGGUCGGCUUCUGCUAGGGACCCCAUCGGGUGUGGUUUUGAUACCCCUAAGUUAAGGCUGAGCCAGAGCACUGUCUCAGCAUUUGAACCAAGUGCUAAUAUAGUCACUUAUUAAAGGAUUAUGCUGAUGGAAAUGUACCAGC
rnacentral:sRNA from 1 species